rnacentral:rRNA from 1 species
GAUGAACGCUGGCGGCGUGCUUAACACAUGCAAGUCGAACGGAGCCUAUCGAGUGCUUGCACUUGAGAAAGCUUAGUGGCGGACGGGUGAGUAACGCGUGGGUAACCUGCCCUGUACCGGGGGAUAACAGUCGGAAACGACUGCUAAUACCGCAUAAGCCCACAUGACCGCAUGGUCAAGGGGGAAAAACUCCGGUGGUACAGGAUGGACCCGCGUCUGAUUAGCUAGUUGGUGAGGUAACGGCCCACCAAGGCGAUGAUCUCUAGCUGGUUUGAGAGGACAAUCAGCCACAUUGGAAUUGAGAAACGGACCAAACUCC